AUUUAAUAGCAAGGAAUGAGUGAUUUUUUCCUGAGGGAAAGAAUUGAAAAGGGAAGUCAGUAAGCUGACGCGGUGCCCGCCACUGUAAAAGGGAGUCUACUUACAAAAUGUCACUGGAGAUAUAUACCCGGGAAGACGUGAGUUGAUGAGGAUCUUUAGCCAGGAGACCUGCUUAUGCCGAAGUCAAAACU
rnacentral:ncRNA from 1 species